AUAUAAUUGCAUUGUACUGUAAAGGGUGCAUUAAAAAUGCUUGCAGAAAGCACUAUAUUUGUGUUCUUUGAAGUAUAUACUGUUACCAUGGUAUUUUGGACCCUUGUAAUGGUGCAUAUAAACCACAUUCAUUCUGAAUCCUGAAAUUCCCAUCCAGUGCCCAGCCGCCUCCUGUCUAUUCCCACCCAACCUCGGGCAGCUAUAGCAUCCAGGCGGCCCCUGGAGUGGCCCAUGCUGUGACGGCCUCGUACCCCACCGCCCAACAGGCGAGUCCCGCGGUCACCGCCCCCUACCCCACCUACCAGCCCCAUCCUGCCCCCAACUACUGCUACCAGCAGCCCGAAACGUCUCCGCAGCUGACGACCCCCCAUCAAACCUACCAGGUGCUGACCGAACCGGAGAAUUAUAGCUACGGUCGACUGCCGUCGGUCAGCAGCUACGACAACAAGCAGUACUUUCAAACGAGCAUCGCACCUGUGCAGCAAACCGCAACCGAGGCCUACUUCCAGACAGGGUUGAAAACCGGCUACGGUACGACGAGCACAGCAUACAGUCAGCC
rnacentral:lncRNA from 1 species